AAAUUAAAUAGUAUUUUAGGUGCUUUUUAAAAGUGAAAAGGGAAUAUGGUUAAAAUCCAUAGCAGCCCCCGCUACUGUAAAUGAUGACGACCCUCAAAUACCACUCUUAAUAGGGGAAGGUGAGGUUAGAGUGAUUCAUAAGCCAGGAGACCUGCCUAAAUAUAAGCUUUCGG
rnacentral:ncRNA from 1 species